rnacentral:sRNA from 1 species
GUGUAUUACAAGCUUCUAAAUACUCUUGCAGAUUACUUGGCUAAGGAACUGGAAAAUGAUUUGAAUGAAACUCUCAGAUCACUGUAUAACCACCCAGUACCAAAGGCAAAUACUCCUGUAAAUUUGAGUGUGCAUUCCUACUUCAUUGCCCCUGAUGUAACUGGACUCCCAACAAUACCCGAGAGUAGAAAUCUUACAGAAUAUUUUGUUGCUGUGGAUGUGAACAACAUGCUGCAGCUGUAUGCCAGUAUGCUGCAUGAAAGGCGCAUCAUGAUUAUCUCGAGCAAAUUAAGCACUUUAACUGCCUGUAUCCAUGGAUCAGCUGCUCUUCUAUACCCAAUGUAUUGGCAACACAUAUACAUCCCAGUGCUUCCUCCACACCUGCUGGACUACUGCUGUGCCCCAAUGCCAUACCUGAUUGGAAUACACUCCAGCCUCAUAGAGAGAGUGAAAAACAAAUCAUUGGAAGAUGUUGUUAUGUUAAAUGUUGAUACAAACACAUUAGAGUCACCAUUUAGUGACUUGAACAACCUACCAAGUGAUGUGGUAAGUAUGAAGGCUAUUCAGUGGUGAACAUAUAUGUUUUCUCCUGGACCUCUGAAUUACUAAGUUAUUUUUCCCACUUUUAAUAUCUGAAAUAAAAGGGUUGGGUAUUUGCAUGGGGUGUGAGAGAAAUCAAUGUUGAUUCUAUAUUUAAUAUUUUUACCUUUUAGCAGUUGAGAUUUUGAAUGGAACAUCAUAUUCCUUAUUGUAAAAGUAAGAUCAUAAUUAAAAAGCUAGAUGCAUUCAUUAGGCAGAGUUUCUUUAAACCUAAGUCUCUUCAUCUCAUCUUAAUCAUUAUAUUACAAAGUAGGCAUUUCUGUCUGCCUAGUGGCAUGUCUUGCAAAAGAAUGAGAGAGUUUUUGAAGGCAAGAAGAAGAAGGGGGCCAAUUAUCGGCUUUUGCUUCCCUGCCACCUGCCAGCGCUUUUCCUUUUAAUUAAUGAUCUGAUGUUACUGGUCAAUAUAAUAAGAAAUGCUUGUACAGUUGGGGUCAGAAAAUUCUGGCUUUGAUCUCCCUCAACUUUCUGAAACAUUUAUUUGUUUUCUCUAAAUUAUUUCAGUUUUAUUUUAAUCUUUUCUAUCCUGCUGAGGGCCGCAAGAAUGAAAACCUACACUGUUUGUCAUUUGCUUUGGCAGAGCAAAGACUGCUUACUUAGAAUUCUAUUUGUAAAUUAAACUGCAAACCCAGUUUGUCAUAAAAGACAUCUGAUCCUUUUGAAAUGACGAAAACUGUCUUUUGUCUGUAAAGGCUGAUAAAUUAAGUGCCAGUUCUCUUCUGGUCUUUGAUCUUGCGGAGGGUUGUGUGUGUGUAUGCGUGUGUCUGCAGCUUAUAAUGGGACAUAUUCUGUAUGUCACGUUAAAUAGUCUCCAAAAGUGCAUUAUUUUUGGCCUUCAUAUUCCUUAGUACAGGACAAAAAUGCAAACUAGUACUGUUUCUGUAUAUAUUUUAAUGGCUACUUAAAAAUAUCUUUAUAACAUAGUUCUAAGUUAAAAUAACUUCCUUUUUUAAAAAACAAAGCAUUUAUUCUUUAUACGGAUAUUAAAAUUUGGGAAUAAAAAUGCCUUCAGAGCAUAUUUUUCUGUAAUAUUGAACUACUUUGAAAUCCAUUAUUAAGGAGUUUGAGAAAGUGAAUUUAAAAAUCCUAAACUCAAAAAUACACUAAUACCAGCCUUGAUUGUCCUUCUGUCUAAUGAUAGGAAAAAUAUGAUUUUAAAGUCAAAAUCAGAUUAUUUAUGCCCAUAAUACCGUAAAAUACUUGCUGACCUUGAGACAUAUUAAAAUUCAACUACCUUAUCUUACUGUAGUAAAACUUAUGCUAUGAAUAUACAAAUCUAAUCCUAGGCCAGUGAACAAUUACAUCUUUUUAGCUCAUUAUAACUAGAUUACCUCAUUAUAAAAUUUUUGCAAAAACAAAAUCACAAAGAAAUUAUUAGAGUUACUCAUUUAAAAACUAAUCAAAGUAUUGUUCAAUGGAUAGAGAAAUAAUUAUGAAAAUAGAAUCCCAACUUUUAAGAAUGCUUUCCUUAUAUGCAUGUACUUCCUACCAUUAAUGCCCCAGGGAGAAAGAUUGUUAAAAAGAGAAAGAAGAAAAAAAA